CUGUGAUGGAAGAUUCCAGAAGAAGAGAUCAAAAGACUAACACAAGUGAGCAUCGUAUAACAUGUCUAUACAUCACGCCAGAAAGCACAACACCUGGCUGUGUUGGAAAGGCUUAGAGGACCCUGCGAUGACCAAGGCCAUUUGAAAUGCCCUGGUAUGAGAGGCAGAGGCAUCCUUGAGAAGUUCCACAGUGGUGGGGUCCUCUGUAAUCAGGUCUGAUGACUCAAAGAAGAAAGCAUGUAGCUCCAGGAGCUUCUGGCCACCACCUAGAUUCUCUGAAGGAAGCCUGAGGACAAAGCCAGCAAAUGACACCCAGCGCAGGACCUUCUCAACAUCACAUCAUCACCAAGAGAAGGACAAAUCAGAAGCCAAUUCAUUGAGUAGCGAUGUCAGUCUUCCCUAAACAAUUCUGAAGGAGCAGCAAAAGAGUUCCGUGGCACAAGUAGAGUAAGACAUACUCAUUGCUCUUCUGUCCCCUAAUUCAGUGACCAUUGCCAUUCUCCUCUCCUCCCCACCCUACUUUCUCUCCAUUGGCCCAGCUUUCCCGUACACCCUACCCCUCACCCUGGGCUGCCAAACAGAAGCCUGACAGGUGCCAGGGCAAGUCAGAGCCCUCAGAAGGCGGAGUGGACAGGAGGAUAAGGAAUGCCAGUAAGUUUCGAUUUCAUCCUGGUCUCUGCCUCGCUCUUUACAAAGGAUCCUCCUCAAAGAGGGCAUCUUUGCAACCUCCCCAUUUACUUUAUGGAAAAGUAUAAAGAAGAACCAAUCAUGGGUUUCUUUGAUCAUCCCCUCUUGCAAACAUCAACCAGAAUCCAGUCCUUUGUCGUGAGAUUCCCCCAAGUUCAAGGCAGAGUGGGACAGUGAUGCACAUGAGGUCAGGGGCUACAUUGUGCCCUGGUUGGCCCAAGGACACAGUGAGUCAAGUGAUCGCCAUGAUCCCUGAAGACACAGGUCAGGAGGAGGGGCUCUGGAGGUGACCCAUAUGGAUUCAAACCUGGCUCUGUCAUCUUUGCUGUGUGACCUUGGACAAGUUAUUGACCUAUCAAUAGGUCAAUAGUUUCCUUGCCUGUGAGACAAUGAUAAUAGCUGUCUGGCUGGUGUGAGAAUUAACAAGUUAAUGCACAUAAAUGGCUUAGAACAGUUCCUGGCACACAGUGAAUCCUCAGUCAACAUUAACUGUAAUUUGUGAAGAUUCUGGUCUGUGGCUCUUGGGUAUUGACUCAGGGAGGCAGCUAGUAGGUGGGGAACAAGGUGACCCCAUAAACUAGUACUAAAAUGAGAUCUGAGGUUGAUAUACCAUCUUCCACUGUUUAAGCACUUUUGGGUGCCCUUAAAAGUAUCCUGAGACAAGGGUUGGGUGCAGGUAGUUUAUUUAGGGGUGUUAGGAAACAGGGAGGGGGGUGAUGGAGCAGGGAAGAUGGAGAAGCCUAUAUAAACAUUAUCAAAGUGGAUAAUGGGAAUUCAACUCGUCCAGGACCUUCUGAGAAGUAUGUGGGAGGCCUCUGUACUGAACUGAAUAGUGUUCCCCCAAAACUCAUGUUCACCCAGAACCUCAGAAUAUGACCUUAGUUGGAAGUAGAUCUUUGCAUAUGUAAUUGCUUCAGUUAAGAUGAGGUCAUACUGGAGUGGGGGGGGGGCACUAAAUCCACUGACUAGUGUCCUUUUAGAAAGGUUAUGUAAAAGCACAUGGAGAGAAGAAUGUGCCAUGUGAACACAGAGGCAGAGAUCGGAGAGUUGCAUCUAGAAGCCCAGAAACACUAAGGACUUCGGGAAGCCACCAGAAGGGAGAGAGGCAUGGGACCACUCCUCCCUCAGAACCUCCAAGAGAGAAUCAACCCCGCCAACACCUCGAUCUCGAACUUCUGGCCUCUAGAACUACAGGGCACUACUUUUCUAUUGUGUUAAGCCUCUCAGUUUAUGGAAAUUCGUUCUGGCAACCACAGGAAACUAAUACAGCCUCCCAUAGCUGCCCGGCCACAGGGCAGGAGCAAGGCAUCUCUGCCCAAGCCCCCAGUGCCCCCCUGGUUGAGUGGGGUUGACCAUUUUCCUGCACUUCAGGGAUAUACUUGCAAAAGGGCCAGGGGGGUGCCAGGAUCCUGGAAAAGUCCCCGGCACAGAUGCGGAAAGAUCCCCAGAGCUGACUGGAGCAGGAAUGGCCUCAGAGUGGGGGUGAAUCUGAGCUGGCAGAGAACUGGGGGCUGUGGGUCAAAAUCAGAGGGGUCCAAGGGGAUGUGACGCAAGUCCCAGAGAUGUCUUCUACAGUCACCACCAUGGCCAAGGGGGUGUGGGGGGCUGUCCCUCCAUGUUUACUCACACUUCCUGCUGGGAGUUUCCCAAGAUUGCCCAGGGUUACUUUCAUCCAUUCAUUAAUUCAUUUAUUCAUUCAUUCAUCCGGCACACACUCUCUAAGCUCCCGCUCUGGAUUAGGUCCAGGAAGACACCAAUGGCUACAUCUGGCCCAUGGGCUCCACCAGCUCCCAGUCCAGUGAGGGGGGCACUCAGAGCUUCGUGGCACAAUGGAGUGAGCUCAGUGGUGGUUGCAAGCAGAGGAGGUCACGGGAGCACGGAAGGCAGACCGAGCUCGGCCGGGCCUGGGGGCUGUAGGCAGGGAGGGACGGCAAACAAGUCUUUCCGGUGCAGACGAUGCAGGCGGGGGAAAGAGCAUUUGACAGCACAGAGGGUGUGGUGUGGCAGUGGGGGGUGCGCAUGCGUGGGGCACCCUGGCAUGGGCUGGCCCCCAGCGGCCCUGCCUGCCCACCCUUCCGGGAACAGCAGCCCCUGUUUCCUUGCACAGUGUCCCUCCCCUACUCCGUGAGGCGGUUCUGGGGCUAGAAUCCUGGCACCCCACCUCUCCCGGCUACGGGGCUGGACCCAGAGAUGGACAUGUGACCCAGGCGGAGCUAACAGAGUCCUCGCCUGAGACCUCACCUGGGUCCGCCAGAGAUACAAUUAAGGUAAGAAUCUUGAGAUGAGAUCACUGGACCUUAAAUCCAAUGACAAGGUCUGAUAAGGGCAGAGGAGGAGAAGGAGCAGAGGGAGACAGAGAGAGGGCCACAUGAGGAUCGAGGUAGAGACGGGAGCGGUGCGGUCAUAAGCCUGGGGACACCUGGAGCCCCCAGACUCUGGAAGCCAGGAGGAACCCCGGCCUGGAACCUUCCGUGGGAGCACAGCCCUACUGACUCCAGGACUGGGAGAGAAGAAGCUUCCGUUUCAAGCAACCCAGUUUCUGAUCAUUUGUUAUGGCGGCCACAGGAAAUGGAUUCCGUGGGCAUCGUGCAAAAAGCCCAGGAAGGAUGUGAAGCAGGUGAGGACAGGAUCUGCCGGCUCGUGUCUGAGGCCAGGUGCCACUCCCCAGUGAGCCUGGUUAAGACUGGGUGACUCAGUCAUUUAUUCAUCUGACUCCUGGGUUCAGCUCAGGUCAUGAUCCCACAGUUCAUGAGUUUGAGUCUUGCACUGGGCUCUGCACGGACAGCA